rnacentral:rRNA from 1 species
GACGAACGCUGGCGGCGUGCUUAACACAUGCAAGUCGAACGGUGAAGCGCCUUCCUUUUUGGUGUGUGUGUAUGAGUGGCGAACGGGGGAGUAACACGUGAGGAACCUGCUCCCUUCUUCGGGAUAACCGCAUGCAAGUGUGGCUAAUACGGGAUAUGCUGUAUCUGUCGCAUGAUGGGUCUUGGAAAGAUUUUGUUUCGGUGGGGGAUGGUCUCGCGGCGGAUCAGCUGGUUGGUGGGGUGACGGCGUACCAAGGCGGCGACGCGUAGCCGGCCUGAUAGGAUGGUGGACCGCAACGUGGGGGCGGCAACACCGCCCAGACUACGACGGGAGGCAGUAGGGAAGAUUAUGGAACAGUGGGAAGACGUAUGCAGCAGCGACGCGUCGGUAAGGAUGGCGUUCUGCUGGUAGAGCACUUCUUUUGGCAGUGAAGCAGGGCUGCCUUGUUUGUGGGUGGGUUGACGGUAGCUGAACAAGAAGCGCCGGCUAACUACGUG